AGUGAACGCUGGCGGUAGGCCUAACACAUGCAAGUCGAGCGGCAGCACAGUAAGAUCUCUCUCUUACGGGUGGCGGGGGGCGGACGGGUGAGGAAUAGAUCAGAAUCUACUUUGACGUGGGUAAUAACGGGGAGAAGCUGACGCUAAUAGCGCAUACGACGUACGGGUGAGAUCAGUGGAGCUUCGGACCUUUCGCGAUUGAAUGAGCUGAUGUCGGAUUAGCUAGUUGGCGGGGUAAAGGCACACCAAGGCGACGAUCCGUAGCUGGUCUGAGAGGAUGAUCAGCCACACUGGAACUGAGACACGGUCCAGACUCCUACGGGAGGCAGCAGUGGGGAAUAUUGGACAAUGGGCGCAAGCCUGAUCCAGCAAUACCGCGUGGGUGAAGAAGGCCUUCGGGUUGUAAAGCCCUUUUGUUGGGAAAGAAAAGCAGCAGGUUAAUACCCCGCUGUUCUGACGGUACCCAAAGAAUAAGCACCGGCUAACUUCGUG
rnacentral:rRNA from 1 species